CAAGAACAGGCUGAGGCUAUCUAUAGUGAUACAGGAGUGAAAUGUUUUUGAGAGCAUCCUGCUUGUGAACAGAUUCCUAUUUCCGUGAGGAGGUGACCUCGAAGAAGAGCAGCUUCUAUUCUGCUGGGAGGUGUACUGCCUUCUGGUAUCAGGCUUCUGCAUCCCGGGAAAGCUCGGGAUAACCUGAGGCACCCCCUUGAAAAACAAAAGAGCUUGAUCAGAGCAGGAGGGUCCUGUUGCACAAGCCCAGCAUCUACUAUCAGUUUCACCUAAAUGAGCUGAUACUGUCCCCAAGAUGGAACUGUACUGUCACAGGUCACACUCCAACUUGAGAAGCACUCCUUUCCCCUCUAACUACGAACAGAACUGGAGAGCUACUUUCUGGCUGGGUGACUUGGGGAAAUUUGUAAACCUCUUGAGAUGCAUCAGUAAGAUGGGCAUAAUGACAGGAAGUCAGCAGCUCCAAGAGGGCAGAAACUGUGCUCCUGUUUGCUAG
rnacentral:lncRNA from 10 species